rnacentral:rRNA from 1 species
GGAACUGAAACAUCUCAGUACCCGCAGGAAGAGAAAGAAAACUCGAUUCCCAUAGUAGCGGCGAGCGAAGUGGGAAGAGCCCAAACCGAGAAGCUUGCUUCUCGGGGUUGUAGGACUGGACAUUGGAGUUACCAAAGUCCGACGUAGUCGAAGUCAGCUGGAAAGCUGCGCCAUAGAAGGUGAAAGCCCUGUAAGCGAAACGGCGGACCCUCCGUCCAGGAUCCUGAGUACGGCGGAACACGUGAAAUUCCUUCGGAAUCCGGGAGGACCAUCUCCCAAGGCUAAAUACUCCCUAGUGACCGAUAGUGAACCAGUACCGUGAGGGAAAGGUGAAAAGUACCCCGGAAGGGGAGUGAAACAGUUCCUGAAACCGUGUGCCUACAAUUAGUCAAAGCCCGUUAAGGGGUAAUGGCGUGCCUUUUGUAGAAUGAACCGGCGAGUUACGUUUGCCUGCGAGGUUAAGAUGAAAAGUCGGAGCCGGAGCGAAAGCGAGUCUGAACAGGGCGAGUGAGUAGGCAGAUGUAGACCCGAAACCAAGUGACCUACCCAUGACCAGGUUGAAGGUGUGGUGAAACACACUGGAGGACCGAACCCAUGUAUGUUGAAAAAUGCUGGGAUGAGUUGUGGGUAGCGGUGAAAUUCCAAACGAA